rnacentral:rRNA from 1 species
UACGAAGGGGGCGAGCGUUGUUCGGAAUUAUUGGGCGUAAAGGGUGCGUAGGCGGCCUGACAAGUCUGAUGUGAAAUCCCUGGGCUCAACCCAGGGCCUGCAUCGGAAACUGUCGGGCUUGAGUAUGGGAGAGGUGAGUGGAAUUUCCGGUGUAGCGGUGAAAUGCGUAGAUAUCGGAAGGAACACCUGUGGCGAAAGCGGCUCACUGGACCAUUACUGACGCUGAGGCACGAAAGCUAGGGGAGCAAACAGG